GUCUAUGGCCAUGCCACCCUGAACAAGCCCGAUGUCUGAUCUCAGAAGCUAAGCAGGGUUGAGUCUGGUUAGUACUUGGAUGGGAGGCCACCUAGGAAUACCAGGUGCUGUAGGGA
rnacentral:rRNA from 1 species